UCUCUGCUGCUUCUUCCAAAUUGUAAGUUUGGAGUUACGUCAACGCAAAAGUUAAAAACCGUAAGUAAAUAUCCUCUUCCCCUAUAGGACUCUGGGAUGGCAGUGUAAAGUUCCCAGGGCCUGAGGCAGUCCUCUCCUUGCAACUACUCAGGAAGCUGAGGCAGGAGGAUUGAGAUUAAGGCCGGCUUAGACUACAAAGGGAGUUUAGAUCCAGCCUAGGCAACCUCUCGAGACCUUCAAAAUGAAAAAGUGAAAAGAAAAUUGUUCUGUGCAAUGGCUGUUCACCAAGGAGAUUAUUACUGUAAAACUUCUGCAGACAGGAAAAGGGUAGAAGAGGACCACCAUGGUCAACGUCCACUCACACACUCCACGACCCCAAGAAGCAGGGGGACAGUCUCGGCGAUGCAGAAACUCAGAGAUGAAUGAAGCCAGCUGUGGCAAGUCAGCCCCACCCCAUGCGUGCACACACACCAUACUCCACUCACACACUACAUGCAUGCACACACC